rnacentral:rRNA from 1 species
UUCUGUUUCGUAGGUGACCUGCGGAAGGACAUUAU